UUCACCUCUGCAUCCAAACGAGAGAUUGUUAAACUAUUUAGUCUUCAAAGUUAAACCCUCUCUUUCUCUGGCUCUCUCAAGUCUCAACUCAUGGUUGUCUCUCCAGUCGCCACCAUACCGCCUCCGCCACACGAAACAAUGGAGAGGAACCUUCUGAUUUCAAUGACGGAAUCCCACGCUUCCUUCUUUGCGCUUCAGCCACACCAUCUAGAUUAGUCUCCUAGUGACCUAGGCUAAUACAUGUUGCUCAAGGCUUUCUAUCCAUGGUAAUAACUGAUCGUGACACUCUUGGUUCUCAUUUCAUCAUCUCUUUGAAAGCUGAUCAACAUCUUGAUAGAAGGAGAUAUUUGACUAUGCCCAUGUCCCUGGACAAGCUGUGCUUCAUCAUGGUCGUUUUCUCCAUGGUGCUAGAGCCACAACAGUAGGUCAAUGGGUCAACCUACAUUUAUGGUGCAGAAGGUUCUUUAAAAUAUUCCUUGUAUUCACUCCUAUUUGUCAAUUAUACUUUAUCAUUGUAUUUUCACAUGCAUAAGUAAUUGUAUAGAUGUGGAAAGGAAGGGGUUCGCUGGUGAAAGUUAGGUUUGAGCCAGUGCAGUUUCUGAAGCUAGAGGGGAGUUUUGGCUAACCCAAGCAAACUUCACAUGAAGGCAAUAUUACUACUCACUACUAAAUCAUAUCUUAGAAUCGCUUUCAUAUAUUUCAGUGACCUCACUGCUAAAUCAUAUCUUAGAUUCUAUCCUCAUGUGAUGUAUUGCGAAGUUUACUCUUUACACUUUGUGGUGGUUAUACAUUGGCAAGUGAUUACCACUAAUUUUUCUUUUUAUUUAUUUUAGUUUUUUUCUAGUGUUGGGAAGAUUUGUAUGAAGAAUCUUCCAAGGCUGAAAAAGAUGAUUCUGAAGAAGCCAACAUUUGCUUGAUGGCUCAUAAGAAUCUGCUGAGAAGUCAGAACACGAGGAUUUUGAAGAGCCAUCAGGAUGGUAUGGGUUUCCUUCAUAACCUGACAUACAUGUGCAUCGGUAACCAUAAUCUAUGUCCUCAUCAACGCAGAGACUAUUGUUCUUGCACGCGUAGUCGGUACCACUCUUUGAAGCAUUGCAGCCCUUGUUCCCUACUGUCCAAUCAAGAACCAAGGGGAAUUUUGUGUGAGGAAAACCUUCAGCUCCAUUGCCUUUGGUCACAAACUAGAUUGCAGAGGUUUAGAAGUUGGAACUGAAAAUUGACUUGCUGCAUACACUGUAUAUAGCGGACAUUUCUAACUGAAAAAUAAAUACAGUCUAACUUGCCGCCCAGCCGUCUUUUGGUGUGGCCAUAGGAGGUGCACUUAUUAAUGUACUUUAUUGUUUUUUCUUUAUCAACUUGGGGGGAGUAAGUUCACUUGACUCACUGGGAAUUGAAGACUGUCUAUGUCUAGCUAGGUCCGUAACUAAGAAAGUAGGUGUAGAGAUUUGAAUGAAAGUACCAACAUAAAUGAUUCAUGAGCGAUCAACUAGCUGAAUAGUGUCUUAUGGUGUGGUAAGGGGAGGUUCACUUAUUUUAUGUACUUAAUUGUUUUUUAAGUAAGUUCAGUUGGCUUAGCACUUAGCAAGAAGACUAAGUGAAAAUAAGCGGAAAGAAUAUAAGCGAAAAAUGAGAUGAUUUUUUAUAAGUUUGGAUAAAGAGAAUAUAAGUUGUAUGGGUGAAAAUGAGGUGAUUUUUAUAAGUAGUAAGAAGAUUAAGCCCUAUGUGUCAAAUGCCAUCUUUUAACACCAAUGUUGGCGUGUUCGUUGCUAGUACAUAUUCUCUGCACUCAUCGUCUCUCCACUCCCUUAUUAAUAUAUACAUGGACUUUUUUCUUUUUCAUCUUAGCCCCUUUUUAUUUAGUUCCCCCUU